GAUUUUUUUUUAUUCUGUUCCUGAAGAAUUUGUACAAGCUCUUGUUUACAAUAUCAUUCAUUUUCAUAUUGAUUAACCAAUUCUGCAAUAAAUGUUUUAUUACCUGUAUUAAUAUAAAAACAUACCGAUAGUAAAUUUUCGACAGGAAUCGCAAAUACAUUUUCAGUUAUAAUGAAUUCAUAUAAAUGUGAUAGUUGGAGAAGUCUGACAGGCUCUUUGAAAGAUUCUACUUGCAGCAGAGUUAUUAUUGCAAAAUGAUGGCCAAGGCACUUACAAUUACUAAUUUUUUGACAAUCGCAUAUUUUAUCAAUAAUUUUUAUAAAAGAAUGAAGAAGACCAAAACGUUUUUCAUUCAAGUAUUUAAAUGCUACAUAAGAAGAAUUAUUUUUUAACGUUUCUUUAUAAUUUUUUGAUAUAAACAAUAUACCAUUUAAUAAUAAUCUAAAAUAUUCUAAACCAUAAACACCUUCAAUGUUCCCGUUAUUUAAACUUCUUCUUACAACAUUGUCUUUAUCCAAGUCAAAUUUUAACAAAGUCACGCAUUGUACCAUCAGGUAAUCUCUGUACUCGAGAAUGUAACAAUAAAUUUUGCCAAUGUAAAUUAACAAUUUGUGAAUCUGCAUUGGUUGUACCAUGCAUAUCUUUUACCAUUAAGCCAUUUAGAUUUUCCAAUGAAAAGCAUGAAUGCGACCACAAUGGUCCCAAUGAUUUUACUUUAUCACUGACGUGUAAUAGUAUAUGAUUAUUUAUUGAACAGAAUUUUAGAUCAUAUAAAUCUGGAAAUAGUUUGACAAACAAUUGUAAAUUUUUUUUACUGGUAUUUAUCAUCGUUUGAGUUAUUACAUUUGCGUUUAGCAUCACAAUAGAAGUGACUAAAAGCAUAUAGUGACUGAAAUACUCAGGUGUCAUUAUAUCUGAUAAAAUAGGGACCGAGUAAUAAAAGAACCAAUUUUUAUAUUCUGAUGCUUUCCAGGUGGCAAAAUUAUCAAUAGUAUUGAAUCGAUGAACGAACCGUGGAACUUGGAUAUUUUUAAAUUUGUCUUUAACUACAUCAAUUACUUGCCUGAGAGAAAAUGGACUUGAACUAUAUUCUGCAUCAAACCAUAAAUGCAUUAAUUUUUUUGCAUUUCCUUCGUAAAUACAAUGCAUCGAGUCGAUUGCAUUACCAACAAUAAAAUUAGGCAUGACUUUAGAUAGAGCGCAAGGUCCUUUAACGCCUUUAAUUACUUUUUUCAAAGCAACAGCUUCGUCUGCAUAAUGUAAGACACUUGUUAAACUACGUAGAGGUGCAUUCGGUUGAUAUUUAUAAAUGUGAGUAUGUCCACCUGUAUUGAGCUUCAAAGUUUCACCGGGGUUUUCACAGUCAACACAACCAUACUCGCCGUUAAAUAACAUCAUGUUUAACACUGCAGCUUUCGCUGGAAGAUCAGCCGUACCAGUCAGUAAAACAGCUUUAACAGUCCUCAAUGCAUUAAGAUCGUGUAUAUAAAGCUGUUUUCCUUCAUACAAACUUUGGAAUUCCAAAUAAAAUUUAUCUAUAUAUAGAUUA
rnacentral:lncRNA from 1 species